CCGGAGCUCUCUUUCUUGUUGUCUCUCUCUAGCACGCUCGAUCUCUCUUGCUGGCUGGCUCCAUGAGAGCCUCCCUUCCUCCAUUCCACAGUUUGCACUGAUCUGGUUCGUGGUGCAAAGAACAAGAGGCUCCAGGUUAAGGGACCCGUGAGAAUGCCAACCAAGGUUCUGCACAUUACCACUAGGAAGUC